rnacentral:rRNA from 1 species
AGCGAACGCUGGCGGCAGGCCUAACACAUGCAAGUCGAACGAACCUUUCGGGGUUAGUGGCGGACGGGUGAGUAACACGUGGGAACGUGCCUUCAGGGUCGGAAUAACUCAGGGAAACUUGUGCUAAUACCGAAUGUGCCCUUCGGGGGAAAGAUUAACCGCCUUUAGAGCGGCCCGCGUCUGAUUAGCUAGUUGGUUGAGGUAAUGGCUCACCAAGGCGACGAUCAGUAGCUGGUCUGAGAGGAUGAUCAGCCACAUUGGGACUGAGACACGGCCCAAACUCCUACGGGAGGCAGCAGUGGGGAAUCUUGCGCAAUGGGCGAAAGCCUGACGCAGCCAUGCCGCGUGAAUGAUGAAGGUCUUAGGAUUGUAAAAUUCUUUCACCGGGGACGAUAAUGACGGUACCCGGAGAAGAAGCCCCGGCUAACUUCGUG